ACUGGGGAUAAUUCCAGAUGGACCAUAGAUACUGGAAUGUUCUGUGGUCAAAAGCUCCGGCGCCUUAGGAUGGAUCUGCGGCCUAUCAGGUAGUAGUGGGUGUAAUGUACCUACUAGCCUACGACGGGCACGGGUUGUGAGAGCAAGAGCCCGGAGAUGGAUUCUGAGACAUGAAUCCAGGCCCUACGGGGCGCAGCAGGCGCGAAAACUUUACAAUGCGGGAAACCGCGAUAAGGGGACACUGAGUGCCAGCACCAUGUGUUGGCUGUCCGCAUGUAUAAAUAACAUGUGUCAGCAAGGGCCGGGCAAGACCGGUGCCAGCCGCCGCGGUAACACCGGCGGCCCGAGUGGUGGCCAUUAUUAUUGGGUCUAAAGGGUCCGUAGCCGGUUUGAUCAGUCUUCCGGGAAAUCUGACAGCUCAACUGUUAGGCUUCUGGGGGAUACUGUCAGACUUGGAACCGGGAGAGGUAAGAGGUACUACAGGGGUAGGAGUGAAAUCUUGUAAUCCUUGUGGGACCACCAGUGGCGAAGGCGUCUCACCAGAACGGACCUGACGGCAAGGGACGAAAGCUAGGGGCACGAACCGGAUUAGAUACCCGGGUAGUCCUAGCCGUAAACGAUACUCGCUAGGUGUCGGCCACGGUGCGACCGUUGUCGGUGCCGUAGGGAAGCCGUGAAGCGAGCCACCUGGGAAGUACGGCCGCAAGGCUGAAACUUAAAGGAAUUGGCGGGGGAGCACCACAACGGGUGGAGCUUGCGGUU
rnacentral:rRNA from 1 species